AGGACAACGGGCGUUGCCGGCGCCGUGUGACUCUGGGCUGUGGGCGCGCCUGUGGCUCUUCGGCCAUGGUUUUCUCAAAUAAUGAUGAAGGCCUUAUUAACAAAAAGUUACCCAAAGAACUUCUUUUGAGAAUAUUUUCCUUCUUGGAUAUAGUAACUUUGUGCCGAUGUGCACAGAUUUCCAAGGCUUGGAAUAUCUUAGCCCUGGAUGGAAGCAACUGGCAAAGAAUAGACCUUUUUAACUUUCAAACAGAUGUAGAGGGUCGAGUGGUGGAAAACAUCUCAAAGCGAUGCGGUGGAUUCCUGAGGAAGCUCAGCUUGCGAGGUUGCAUUGGCGUUGGAGAUUCCUCCUUGAAGACCUUUGCACAGAACUGCAGAAACAUUGAACAUUUAAACCUCAAUGGGUGCACAAAAAUCACUGACAGCACGUGUUACAGCCUUAGCAGAUUCUGUUCCAAGCUGAAACAUCUGGAUCUGACUUCCUGUGUGUCCAUUACAAACAGCUCCUUAAAGGGGAUCAGCGAGGGCUGUCGGCACCUGGAGUACCUGAACCUGUCAUGGUGUGAUCAGAUCACGAAGGAUGGCAUCGAGGCCCUGGUGCGGGGUUGUCGCGGCCUGAGAGCCCUGCUGCUGAGGGGCUGCACGCAGCUAGAAGACGAAGCUCUGAAACACAUUCAGAAUUACUGCCAUGAGCUUGUGAGCCUCAACCUACAGUCCUGCUCACGCGUUACGGAUGAAGGCGUGGUGCAGAUUUGCAGGGGCUGCCACCGGCUGCAGGCCCUCUGCCUGUCUGGCUGCGGCAACCUCACGGAUGCCUCCCUCACAGCCCUAGCCUUGAACUGCCCAAGACUUCAGAUCUUGGAGGCUGCCCGAUGUUCCCAUUUGACUGAUGCAGGCUUUACACUUUUAGCUCGGAAUUGUCAUGACCUGGAGAAGAUGGAUCUCGAAGAAUGCAUCUUGAUAACCGACAGCACACUCAUCCAGCUCUCCAUUCACUGUCCUAAACUGCAAGCCCUGAGCCUGUCCCACUGUGAGCUCAUCACGGAUGAUGGGAUCCUGCACCUGAGCAACAGCCCUUGUGGCCACGAGAGGCUGCGGGUGCUGGAACUGGACAACUGCCUCCUCAUCACUGACGUGGCCCUGGAGCACCUGGAGAACUGUCGUGGCCUGGAGCGCCUUGAGCUGUACGACUGCCAGCAGGUCACCCGCGCGGGCAUCAAGCGGAUGCGGGCCCAGCUCCCUCAUGUCAAAGUCCAUGCCUACUUUGCUCCUGUCACCCCGCCGACAGCAGUGGGAGGAAGUGGACAGAGGCUAUGCAGGUGCUGUGUCAUCCUCUGACAGCAGCUGCCCAGCCCAGGGCUUCAUGAGGUGUCCCUUCCUCCCGAGGACCCGAGUCUUUCUGACGUACUCCACCAACAUCCAAAUCUGUUGAUUCUCCAUUGGGAAAGGCAUUUACAGAAUUAAAAACAGUGUAGAAGACGGCACACGAGAAGCUAAGGAUGUGGACCACGAGGCCUCCUGCUUCUCUACAGAAAGCCCAGCUGUUUUUGGAACACCUGACGAUGCAGCAGCCCUUGUCUGCAAAGCGUCAGGCACAUCUGCAGUGAGCCUGAGUCUCGCAGGUCCUGCUGUACUACUGACUCAAGCCAAACACGGAUCAGGAACAUCAGUGCUUUUACUUUGCUUCCCCAAACAAGGGUUUUUUCAUGUGUGUGAGUACAGAAACCUUUGCUUAGAAUUUGGAACUACAAUUAAGGUAAGACUACAGAGAGGCUCUAAAGCAGGGGUGCCAUACUCUGCCCUACACUUGUUCUUUUAAAAUUAAAUUUUAUCAUAACAACAGCCGAGAAGGGCCACUGCCUCUCACCGCUGCCAGGACAACCCGGUGGCCCCCACCAACUCAGAAGGACAGUGGCAGGAAGCCGAGUGUCCUGGCCCCCCCAUCCCUGCCCGCCCAUACCCACCGUAGGGCGUGGCGGCGCUGCCGUCGCCCCCGCCACCCGCUGCCUGCUGCUGCCCCUGCGGCGCCGGCUGCUCGCGGCAGACGUAGAGGGUCAGGCGGGGCCGCACCGACCUGCAACCAGAAGACAGCGCUUGUGAGCCGGCAGGAGGGCCGCACGCGCAAGCGACAGCUACAAGAAUCUAGGGUCUAUUUCCUUAGGAGAACUUUACAACGUUACUUCAUUAUACGAAAUAAUUUACUAGGAAGAAUAUAAAAACACACACCUCACACCAACUAUCACAGGUUAUCACAGGUGGUCUAAUCUGAUGAUCCAGACUCUAAACCAUUGAGAUGGUCGGUCAGAUGCUGGUAAAUUUAAGUUUCAAGAUUAUGUCAGCAAUGUAACAUCAGUAAAAUUCAGUUUAAUGGAAUUCUCACACCACAAGUCUAGAAAUACCAACGAUAGUAAAUGGAUCUUAAAAGCCAGCACAGUUUACAGUUCUAUCAUUUUAAUUCACAAUUAGAAGUUUACAUUUUUAAUAACUGUUUAGUAGUGUCACAUGACCUUGAAAACCAUAGAUUCUGUAGAGCUCACCUAAAUGAGAAGUUUGUUUUCUUGGCAACAAACCCAGUCGUCUUCCAGACCACAGUCCUGCCCAUGUGCAUUUCUAGUCUUACAGUCUACCUCUGCCCUCAGUGCCUGCAUCAUAUCUGGGCCUGCCUGAAGGUGUACACAAAACAGUCUCCUCGUGAGCACGGCGGGCCAGCGGCCACAGCGCAAGGGCACACGCCGACGUGGCGUGGACACAUCCUGCCCGCAGUCCCCACGCGAACAAGGGCACAUUCUUAUUUCAAGCAGAACAGUUCCUUUUAAACACGGUAUUUUACCUUGACUUCAGUGAAUUAUAGAGCCGAAUUCCAUCGGCUGCACCACAAAUUUGUACUAGAUCUUCCUUUGUCAGUUUUAACAAGUCGGCACCUGGAGAAGAGCAAAAAGAAUCUUCUCAAGGAAAUGGGAGAAGAACCAAGCAGUACGGGCUACUCUGCAGCAUCUGUCUUCACAGUUUAACGUCCUUCGAAGCCAUCGCCAGGUCUCCUGUGUAUACACAUACACAUGAACAACACACACACAUACCUGUCCCUCACAGCCAAAGAGAAUGCUGGCUCUCCAUGUUCUCUAUCAAGAAGGAACUCAGAAGCCCAGAGGCUGGAAAAUCAGAGCAAUGAGCCGACAGCAAAGGGCCGACAGGAAUGUCUCUUCCCAAUACAGGAUUUCAGUGCCUGCCUUACUCUGGCUGGGUGGAGCUCGUGAAGAUGAACAUGAUUCUGACCCCAGAUAGUUCACCUUGAGAUGACCCAGACCAAUCUUUAAUUUACAAAAGGAAGAAAUGGAAGUCAGAGUUUGGGGGACCUGCCCAAAGGCACACAAGUUGGCAGCAGAGCUAGGACUAGGUCUCUUAUUUAUUUAUUUUUGCGAUACACGGGCCUCUCACUGUUGUGGCCUCUCCCGUUGCGGAGCACAGGCUCCAGACGCGCAGGCUCAGUGGCCAUGGCUCACCAGCCCAGCCGCUCCGCGGCAUGUGGGAAUCUUCCCGGACCGGGGCACAAAUCCGCAUCCCCUGCAUCGACAGGCGGACUCUCAACCACUGUGCCACCAGGGAAGCCCCAGGACUAGGUCUCUUUAUACUGUAACAUGCUACAUACAGUGCAACAUUCUAUAACAAACAACUCCAUCACAGCAGCCAGUUUUAAUACAAAAGCAUGACAGAGAAUUGCAUAUUAUACUUAAGGUUUCCCCCAGAAGUAUUUGGUGUGUAAGUGACAUGGUAUCUAGCAUUUGCUUUAAAGUAGGACAGAAAGGGAAGGUGGGGGGAGUGGGAGAGAAAGACACUGAUCUAGGCUGGUCGUCUCUGGAGCUGGGUGUGGUGACACGAGCUCAUCAGACUCUUUCUUCUAUGUUUUACGUUUGAGUGUGUCUACAGUCUUUUGUUUUACCUUUUAUUGACGCUCAAGAUGUAGUUUAUUGGGAGAAUUAAGAUGCCCUCUGGGAUUAAAGCAUGACCUCCAUAUGAUAAAUAUCCACUUACAUAUGUAACGAGAUUAAUGGAGUUAUCUACUUUUGAGGGCUUGAAUGUUAAGAGCCUAAUCAUCUUCUAGUUUGUAAAAGGACAAAGACCAGAGGAGCACAUCUCCCAUGAGGCACGAGCACUGUUGGAGCUGUUUAUGGAGUCAGGUAAGCAGAGACAGACGCUGUCAUCUCUACCAGGGGACCUUCCAUACACACCUCUGCCAACAGGGCUCCCAGGAGCGACCAGAGACGUGUGUGCCCAUCCUUCACCCACACACAGAGCUGGACAGACACUGCACAGCCCUCUCCAAAACAUGACUGCCUAACAGGCUAAGAGAAAGAAGCCUCCCUCUUCUCGCCUUUCUACUGUUGGGAAGCUCACAGGGGAAGGAAAAGGCAGGAGGCCAAGCCACCGUGAUCACCAGUCAGAACUAUAACACGCAUCGUCUGACAGAACAGGAACCUGGGCCCUCGUGGCAGAGCCUUCCGACUGUGCAGUGCUCUCCCUGUCUCCCCUGUGAGCAUCCAAGAUGCGCCCCACACCCCGCAACACGCUGAAAUUUUUAAAUGAGUUUUUCACAGAUAAAAGGCUUACUUAAUCAUAAAAAUGUGCAUCCCAGCUAGCCAACGACUUUCACCCAGCACUUUAAUUUUAAAGAGACAAAGCGCUACCUGGGGAAUGACUAACCAUGACACAAGCACAGCAAUAAAGGGCUGAUGUAAUAGAAAACCACGUUCUUUGUGAAACCAGGCUUUCCUCUAGGCCAGCUGUGUGCACACAUGUUCUCUCCUCUUAAAAGGCUCGAGCUGCAUUUGGAUGGUCCCCCAACACCAUGGGCUAAGGAGAGCCAGCUGCCACUUCACCAUGGCCCAGGAGGAGUUUGGCCAGGACAUGUUACUAAGUGUUCUGUCAGGAAAGGGUCCCAGGGCCAAAUAUGUUUAGGAAAUGCUGCCCCUGCCCCAGCUGGCGUUAUCUUAUUACUGUCCCUCCAAACAGGCUUCCUAUAGCACCAGCUGAAGCAGCACCGCCCGGUCCUUUCUGAAAUUACAUCUAAAUACUCCCUUAGCUUACUAGGCAAGAAAAAAACUUAGGUCUAUAAAAACCAUAUAUGAGUACAUUCAUACCCUCUAAUGCUACAUAGCAAUAAAGAGGAACAAACUAUUGAUACAACAUCUUGGAUGGAAGUAAGGGCCUUAUGCUGAGAGAAAAAAAGGUAACAUACUGUAUGAUUCCAUUUAUGUAACAUUUUCGAAAUGACAAAAUCAUGGAGACAGAAAAUACAUUAGUGGUUGCUAGGUAUUAGGGAUCAUGGGGGAGGGGUAAUUAGGGAGAUCCCUGUGGUGAUGGCAAGAUUCUGCAUCCUAACUUCGGUGGUGGUGGGCAUACAAUCUAUACAUGUGAUAAAAUGACACAGAACUGUAUACACACAUAGCACCAAUGUCAAUUUACUGGUUUUGAUACUGUACUGUAAGUAUGUGAGAAACUGAGUGAAGGGUACACUGGAACAUAUCUGUGUUAUUUUUGCAACUUACUGCAAAGCAAAAAUUAUUUCAAAUAAAAAGUUAAUAAAAUCAAAAAAAUUGCAUAUAACUAUAUACACGUAUACAAAAAUGAGGGCAUGUAAACCUGGUGAAACAGCAUCGAGUUCCUGUUCUGAUACUGCACCAUAGGUCUGCAAGACACUACCACUCGGGACACUGGGCAGCUCCCUGUACAGGUACACAGGAGCUCCCUGUACAGGUUUGGGCAACUUCUUACGAAUCUACAUACAGUUACUUCCCCAAAAUUUAAUUACAGCUAAUAAAAGUACAAAAACAAACAACGUGUGGGUGUGCACACACAAACACAAACAUACCUAAA